ensembl:misc_RNA Metazoa_SRP Metazoan signal recognition particle RNA
GCCAGGUGUGGUGGCUUACACCUGUGGUCCCAGCUACUUGGGAGGCUGAGGCAGGAGGAUCACUUGAGCACAGGAGAUCGAGGCUGCAGUGAGCUAUGAUUGCAUCACUGCACUCCAGCCUGGGCAACAGAGUGAUACCCUGUCAA